AAUGCUGACAUAAGUAACGAUAAAGCGGGUGAAAAGCCCGCUCGCCGGAAGACCAAGGGUUCCUGUCCAACGUUAAUCGGGGCAGGGUGAGUCGACCCCUAAGGCGAGGCCGAAAGGCGUAGUCGAUGGGAAACAGGUUAAUAUUCCUGUACUUGGUGUUACUGCGAAGGGGGGACGGAGAAGGCUAUGUUGGCCGGGCGACGGUUGUCCCGGUUUAAGCGUGUAGGCUGGUUUUCCAGGCAAAUCCGGAAAAUCAAGGCUGAGGCGUGAUGACGAGGCACUACGGUGCUGAAGCAACAAAUGCCCUGCUUCCAGGAAAAGCCUCUAAGCAUCAGGUAACAUCAAAUCGUACCCCAAACCGACACAGGUGGUCAGGUAGAGAAUACCAAGGCGCUUGAGAGAACUCGGGUGAAGGAACUAGGCAAAAUGGUGCCGUAACUUCGGGAGAAGGCACGCUGAUAUGUAGGUGAAGUCCCUCGCGGAUGGAGCUGAAAUCAGUCGAAGAUACCAGCUGGCUGCAACUGUUUAUUAAAAACACAGCACUGUGCAAACACGAAAGUGGACGUAUACGGUGUGACGCCUGCCCGGUGCCGGAAGGUUAAUUGAUGGGGUUAGCGCAAGCGAAGCUCUUGAUCGAAGCCCCGGUAAACGGCGGCCGUAACUAUAACGGUCCUAAGGUAGCGAAAUUCCUUGUCGGGUAAGUUCCGACCUGCACGAAUGGCGUAAUGAUGGCCAGGCUGUCUCCACCCGAGACUCAGUGAAAUUGAACUCGCUGUGAAGAUGCAGUGUACCCGCGGCAAGACGGAAAGACCCCGUGAACCUUUACUAUAGCUUGACACUGAACAUUGAGCCUUGAUGUGUAGGAUAGGUGGGAGGCUUUGAAGUGUGGACGCCAGUCUGCAUGGAGCCGACCUUGAAAUACCACCCUUUAAUGUUUGAUGUUCUAACGUUGACCCGUAAUCCGGGUUGCGGACAGUGUCUGGUGGGUAGUUUGACUGGGGCGGUCUCCUCCUAAAGAGUAACGGAGGAGCACGAAGGUUGGCUAAUCCUGGUCGGACAUCAGGAGGUUAGUGCAAUGGCAUAAGCCAGCUUGACUGCGAGCGUGACGGCGCGAGCAGGUGCGAAAGCAGGUCAUAGUGAUCCGGUGGUUCUGAAUGGAAGGGCCAUCGCUCAACGGAUAAAAGGUACUCCGGGGAUAACAGGCUGAUACCGCCCAAGAGUUCAUAUCGACGGCGGUGUUUGGCACCUCGAUGUCGGCUCAUCACAUCCUGGGGCUGAAGUAGGUCCCAAGGGUAUGGCUGUUCGCCAUUUAAAGUGGUACGCGAGCUGGGUUUAGAACGUCGUGAGACAGUUCGGUCCCUAUCUGCCGUGGGCGCUGGAGAACUGAGGGGGGCUGCUCCUAGUACGAGAGGACCGGAGUGGACGCAUCACUGGUGUUCGGGUUGUCAUGCCAAUGGCACUGCCCGGUAGCUAAAUGCGGAAGAGAUAAGUGCUGAAAGCAUCUAAGCACGAAACUUGCC
rnacentral:rRNA from 1 species